rnacentral:siRNA from 1 species
CAUUUAGGGUCUCUGUUUUGCUGC